rnacentral:rRNA from 1 species
CCUACGGGCGGCUGCAGUGGGGAAUAUUGGACAAUGGGGGCAACCCUGAUCCAGCCAUGCCGCGUGUGUGAAGAAGGCCCUCGGGUUGUAAAGCACUUUCAGUGAGGAAGAACGCCUGGUGGUUAAUACCCAUCAGGAAAGACAUCACUCACAGAAGAAGCACCGGCUAACUCCGUGCCAGCAGCCGCGGUAAUACGGAGGGUGCGAGCGUUAAUCGGAAUUACUGGGCGUAAAGCGCGCGUAGGUGGCUUGAUAAGCCGGUUGUGAAAGCCCCGGGCUCAACCUGGGAACGGCAUCCGGAACUGUCAAGCUAGAGUGCAGGAGAGGAAGGUAGAAUUCCCGGUGUAGCGGUGAAAUGCGUAGAGAUCGGGAGGAAUACCAGUGGCGAAGGCGGCCUUCUGGACUGACACUGACACUGAGGUGCGAAAGCGUGGGUAGCAAACAGGAUUAGAUACCCGGUAGUC